UACGGGGGGAGCAAGCGUUGUUCGGAUUUACUGGGCGUAAAGGGCGGGUAGGCGGCCACCGCAAGUCAGUUGUGAAAUCUCCGGGCUUAACCCGGAAAGGUCAACUGAUACUGCGGGGCUAGAGUGCAGAAGGGGCAACUGGAAUUCUCGGUGUAGCGGUGAAAUGCGUAGAUGUCGAGAGGAACACCUGCGGCGAAGGCGGGUUGCUGGGCUGACACUGACGCUGAACUGCGAAAGCUAGGGGAGCGAACGGG
rnacentral:rRNA from 1 species